CUGGCUCAGGACGAACGCUGGCGGCGUGCCUAAUACAUGCAAGUCGAGCGAACAGAGAAGGAGCUUGCUCCUUCGACGUUAGCGGCGGACGGGUGAGUAACACGUGGGCAACCUACCUUAUAGUUUGGGAUAACUCCGGGAAACCGGGGCUAAUACCGAAUAACCU
rnacentral:rRNA from 1 species